GUACAAUUUUCACUUGUGAACUGUAAAUUAUAAAUAAAAAAUAUUUUUGCUAUCCAUGGAGUGUAAUAUUUAUGCACACCAUCAAAUAAAGACAGUGUUUCUAUACUUUUAUUGGGCAAGAAUGGAACUGAACAGCAAUCUUAACAUGAUGGUUUUUUUUCUAGUAGCUUCCUGGGACUUAAUGCAGCAAAGUUUCAAACUUAGUUUUUCUCAAAUAGAAAAGCAAGAUUAAAAAAACAAAAAGGACAUAUGUGCUUACAUAUAGAUAUGUAUCUCCAGCUAGAGUCAUCCACAAUGUCCACUUUUGGAAAGUAUGUAAUGAAACAGUAAUGCUUAUUUAAACUUGGACACUGAUGCCAUCAAGCAACUAACAAAUAUAUUUAAGUACUAAAAGUGAUUUUACUUUUUAGAAAAUAUUUUUAAAAUUGUCAAUUUAAUGCAGAUGAACACAUUUCUAUUUUAAGUUACAGGGAUUCUGUAUAAGAAUGUUCAUAUGAAAAACAUGGUUAACUUUUUUUCUUUGUUGGUUUUGAUUGAAUUAGAUGGGUAACAUGAGAUGUUAAUAUUCAUACAUGUAAUAAACUGAAUGAUG
rnacentral:lncRNA from 1 species